UACAGAGGUCCCAAGCGUUGUUCGGAUUCAUUGGGCGUAAAGGGUGCGUAGGUGGCGCCGUAAGUCGGGUGUGAAAUUUCGGAGCUUAACUCCGAAACUGCAUUCGAUACUGUGGUGCUCGAGGACUGGAGAGGAGACUGGAAUUCAUGGUGUAGCAGUGAAAUGCGUAGAUAUCGUGAGGAAGACCAGUGGCGAAGGCGGAUCUCUGGACAGCUCCUGACGCUGAGGCGCGAAGGCUAGGGGAGCAAACGGG
rnacentral:rRNA from 1 species